GAUGAACGCUGGCGGCGUGCCUAAUACAUGCAAGUCGAGCGAACGGACGAGAAGCUUGCUUCUCUGAUGUUAGCGGCGGACGGGUGAGUAACACGUGGAUAACCUACCUAUAAGACUCGGAUAACUUCGGGAAACCGGAGCUAAUACCGGAUGAUAUUUUGAACCGCAUGGUUCAAAAGUGAAAGACGGUCUUGCUGUCACUUAUAGAUGGAUCCGCGCUGCAUUAGCUAGUUGGUAAGGUAACGGCUUACCAAGGCAACGAUGCAUAGCCGACCUGAGAGGGUGAUCGGCCACACUGGAACUGAGACACGGUCCAGACUCCUACGGGAGGCAGCAGUAGGGAAUCUUCCGCAAUGGGCGAAAGCCUGACGGAGCAACGCCGCGUGAGUGAUGAAGGUCUUCGGAUCGUAAAACUCUGUUAUUAGGGAAGAACAUAUGUGUAAGUAACUGUGCACAUCUUGACGGUACCUAAUCAGAAAGCCACGGCUAACUACGUG
rnacentral:rRNA from 1 species